rnacentral:rRNA from 1 species
UCCUUAGAUGUUCUGGGCAGCACGCGCGCUACAAUGGUCUUCGCAAACGGAUGCAUUCUCGAAGGAGAAUGCCAAUCUUGGAAUCUAUGCCUUGGUCGGGACAGUUGCUUGCAAUUUUUCGACUCGAACCAGGAAUUCCUUGUAAUCGUGAUUCAUCACAUCACGAUGAAUACGUCCCUGCCCUUUGUACACACCGCCCGUCGCUCCUACCGAUCGAAGAGUUAGGUGAAUUGUUUUGAUCGAUAAGAUUUGACCAUGGUCAACUCUCGUUGUGAAAUUCUGUGAAUCUGACUGUUUAGAGGAAGGAAAAGUCGUAACA